rnacentral:tRNA from 3 species
CGGGGCGUGGCGCAGUUUGGUAGCGCAUCUGCUUUGGGAGCAGAGGGUCGCUGGUUCGAAUCCAGUCGCCCCGACCA